GUUGAUGGGAUUGUAGUUCAAGUGGUUAGAGUACCGCCCUGUCAAGACGGAAGUUGCGGGUUCGAACCCCGUCAAUCCCG
rnacentral:tRNA from 1 species